rnacentral:rRNA from 1 species
CUGACUAUUCGCAAGAGUUGUCAGAGAGUGGCGAACGGCUGAGUAACGCGUAAGCGACCUACCCUUAAGUGGGGAACAACCCUGAGAAAUCGGGGCUAAUACCGCAUGUGGUGCCGGGGGUAAUACCCCGUCACUAAAGCCGCAAGGCGCUUGAGGAUGGGCUUGCGUCCGAUUAGCUAGUUGGUGGGGUAAUUGCCUACCAAGGCGACGAUCGGUAGCUGGUCUGAGAGGAUGGCCAGCCAGACGGGGACUGCGACACGGCCCCGACUCCUACGGGAGGCAGCAGCAAGGAAUCUUGCGCAAUGGGCGAAAGCCUGACGCAGCGACGCCGCGUGGGGGAUGAAGGCUCUAGGGUUGUAAACCCCUUUUCUCGGGGAAGAACAAUGACGGUACUCGAGGAAUAAGUCACGGCUAACUACGUGCCAGCAGCCGCGGUAAUACGUAGGUGGCAAACGUUAUCCGGAUUUACUGGGCGUAAAGAGGGCGCGGGCGGUACCUUAAGUCGGGUGUGAAAUCUCCUGACUCAAUCAGGAGGGGUCAUCCGAUACUGAGGAACUUGAGGGCAGCAGAGGGAGAUGGAAUUCUCGGUGUAGUGGUGAUAUG